rnacentral:rRNA from 1 species
CGUGUAGGCGGUUGGAGAAGUCUGGUGUGAAAUGCCUCAGCUUAACUGGGGCGCUGCGCCGGAAACUUUCUGACUGGAGUUCGGGAGGGUCACUGGAAUUCCCGGUGUAACGGUGAAAUGUGUAGAUAUCGGGAGGAACACCUGUGGCGAAGGCGGGUGACUGGACCGUAACUGACGCUGAGACGCGAAAGCGUGGGGAGCAAACA